rnacentral:rRNA from 1 species
CUUGUACACACCGCCCGUCACACCAUGAGAGCGGGAUGUACCAGAAGUAGGUAGGCUAACCGCAAGGGGGCCGCUUACCACGGUGCGUUUCGUGACUGGGGUG